rnacentral:rRNA from 1 species
AUUGAACGCUGGCGGCAGGCUUAACACAUGCAAGUCGAGCGAGCGGCGGACGGGUGAGUUAUGUAUGGGAAACUGCCUGAGGGAGGGGGAUAACUACUGGAAACGGUAGCUACUACCGCAUACCAUCAGAUGGGCCCAGAUGGGAUUAGCUAGGAGGUGGGGUAAUGGCUGACCAAGGCGACGAGCCCUAGCUGGUCGGAGAGGAUGACCAGCCACACGGGAACUGAGACACGGUCCAGACUCCUACGGGAGGCAGCAGUGGGGAAUAUUGGACAAUGGGCGAAAGCCUGAUGCAGCCAUGCCGCGUGUGUAAAGAAGGUCUUCGGGUUGUAAAGCACUUUCAGCGAGGAGGCGUUACUCGCAGAAGAAGCACCGGCUAACUCCGUGCCAGCAGCCGCGGUAAUUC